rnacentral:rRNA from 1 species
AUUGAACGCUGGCGGCAGGCUUAACACAUGCAAGUCGAGCGGGGUGAUGGUGCUUGCACUAUCACUUAGCGGCGGACGGGUGAGUAAUGCUUAGGAAUCUGCCUAUUAGUGGGGGACAACAUCUCGAAAGGGAUGCUAAUACCGCAUACGUCCUACGGGAGAAAGCAGGGGAUCACUUGUGACCUUGCGCUUAUAGAUGAGCCUAAGUCGGAUUAGCUAGUUGGUGGGGUAAAGGCCUACCAAGGCGACGAUCUGUAGCGGGUCUGAGAGGAUGAGCCGCCACACGGGGACUGAGACACGGCCCAGACUCCUACGGGAGGCAGCAGUGGGGAAUAUUGGACAAUGGGGGGAACCCUGAUCCAGCCAUGCCGCGUGUGUGAAGAAGGCCUUAUGGUUGUAAAGCACUUUAAGCGAGGAGGAGGCUCUUUUGGUUAAUACCCAAGAUGAGUGGACGUUACUCGCAGAAUAAGCACCGGCUAACUCUGUGCCAGCAGCCGCUGUAA